GACGAACGCUGGCGGCGUGCUUAACACAUGCAAGUCGAGCGAUGAAGUUUCUUCGGAAAUGGAUUAGCGGCGAACGGGUGAGGAACACGUGAAGAAUCUGCCCUCCACUUUGGGAUAACACCGGGAAACCGGUGCUAAUACUGAAUAUUGAAACAUAAGUGGCAUCACUGAGUUUUGAAAGAAUUUCGGUGGAGGAUGACUUCGCGGCCUAUCAGCUAGUUGGUGAGGUAAUGGCUCACCAAGGCAACGACGGGUAGCCGGCCUGAGAGGGCGACCGGCCACACUGGGACUGAGACACGGCCCAGACUCCUACGGGAGGCAGCAGUGGGGAAUAUUGGGCAAUGGAGGAAACUCUGACCCAGCGACGCCGCGUGCGGGAUGAAGGCCUUCGGGUUGUAAACCGCUUUCAGUAGGGAAGAAGCGAAAGUGACGGUACCUACAAAAGAAGCACCGGCUAACUAUGUGCCAGCAGCCGCGGUAAUACAUAGGGUGCAAGCGUUGUCCGGAAUUAUUGGGCGUAAAGAGCUCGUAGGUCGUUUGUUACGUCGGAUGUGAAAACCUGAGGCUCAACCUCAGGCCUGCAUUCGAUACGGGCAAACUAGAGUUUGGUAGGGGAGACUGGAAUUCCUGGUGUAGCGGUGGAAUGCGCAGAUAUCAGGAGGAACACCAAUGGCGAAGGCAGGUCUCUGGGCCAAUACUGACACUGAGGAGCGAAAGUCUGGGGAGCGAACAGGAUUAGAUACCCUGGUAGUCCAGACCGUAAACGGUGGGCACUAGUUGUGGGAACCUUCCACGGUUUCUGCGACGCAGCUAACGCAUUAAGUGCCCCGCCUGGGGAGUACGAUCGCAAGAUUAAAACUCAAAGGAAUUGACGGGGCCCCGCACAAGCAGCGGAGCAUGCGGCUUAAUUCGACGCAACGCGAAGAACCUUACCAAGGCUUGACUUAUAGGGAAAAGUGGCAGAGAUGUCA
rnacentral:rRNA from 1 species